rnacentral:rRNA from 1 species
UACGUAGGGGGCAAGCGUUGUCCGGAUUUAUUGGGCGUAAAGCGCUCGCAGGUGGUUCGUUGCGUCGUGCGUGAAAGACCCCGGCUCAACUGGGGAGGGUCGUGCAAUACGGGCGAACUGGAGGCCAGUAGGGGGAUGCGGAAUUCCGGGUGUAGUGGUGGAAUGCGUAGAGAUCCGGAGGAACACCAGCGGCGAAGGCGGCAUCCUGGACUGGUCCUGACACUCAUGAGCGAAAGCGUGGGGAGCGAUCCGG